rfam:Clostridiales bacterium 41_21_two_genomes Ley3_66761_scaffold_15, whole genome shotgun sequence.
AAUAGGGCGUAGGGGAGCCGAUUUUUCGGCUGAGAGGAUAUAAUUGAGUAUCGACCCUUUGACCUGAUUUGGAUAAUGCCAACGAAGGGAAAUUAAGAUUUAUUGAG